UACGUAGGAGGCAAGCGUUGUCCGGAAUUACUGGGCGUAAAGCGCGUGUAGGUGGUGGGACAAGUCUGCUGUGAAAGCGCCUGGCUUAACCGGGCGAGGUCGGCGGAAACUGUCCGACUCGAGGACGGUAGAGGGGGGUGGAAUUCCCGGUGUAGUGGUGAAAUGCGUAGAGAUCGGGAGGAACACCAGUGGCGAAGGCGAGUCUCUGGACAUUUCCUGACGCUGAGGCACGAAAGCCAGGGGAGCAAACGGG
rnacentral:rRNA from 1 species